UGAAAAUGUUGAGUUCCAAUUCAGACGCAAUUUCGAACGACCGAAAAAUAAUGAAACAACAUUUUGAAUAUUUUCGACGACGAUAAUAUUUAUUUAAUAAUCAAAUUUAAAAUUAUUAGCUAUUAAUUUUGAUUUCAACCUUUUGUAAGCAUUUAAAUUAUUCGAGCGUAGUCAAACAUCCGCUUGCACGUAUUGGAUUUAUUAUCAAAACCGAACCGAUACAUUUUCCAAUGAAAUUUAUCGAUUAAAAAUACAAAAACAUAACCGGGUUGCUCGGGGCAUCUGGUUAAAUUGUUUUUCGUUUUAAAAUAAUACGUACGGAAUUCCUCUCCCUUUGUAUUCAUUACGCGUCGCGCGUUAUCGUUUCCCUGAAGUUCCGACCUUAUCUCUUUAUUGUUGUCGGCUGUAAUAUUUUCGGUUUAAAAUACUAUCGGCUCAAACAAUUUUCCGUUGAAAUACGGUUCGGCUGAUCUGAUUUUCGGUUGUUUUACGCGCUCCCCCCCGUAACUCCCUUGUUCGCUGUCUAGAACAUUUAAUAAUACCACAAGUUGAAAUAGUAUUACCACGGUUUUAGAUAAAUUCUUAUGCAUUAAAUACAAACGCGUGAUUGAGUGGAGCAUUAAGUAUUAUAGAAUAAGAACUACACAUCCCACAAAUAAGACAAUUAUUUUUCUGUUUUUUUCCUGAUUGUUAUUAUUAUUAUUCAUUUACAUUUUAGUGAAUUAUUUUAAUAUUUUGUAACGGCAGAAGCUAUUCAACCAGGUGUCAAAUAUUAAAAAAAAAAAAAAAAAAGAGACGAAUUUUGUAGCUUGGUAGAUUUAUAGGGAGCCAGAAAAAAAUGUUAAGAAACGGAAAAUUGUAAUUUAUGUAAAUUUAACUCUAGGGCAAUAAGAGGUGCUAAAAAAAAAAUUAUUAAAAAGAAAUCUGAAUUCAGAAUUUGAAUACUU